rnacentral:rRNA from 1 species
UACGGGAGGCAGCAGUGGGGAAUAUUGCACAAUGGGCGCAAGCCUGAUGCAGCAACGCCGCGUGAGGGACGACGGCCUUCGGGUUGUAAACCUCUUUUAGCAAGGAAGAAGCGAAAGUGACGGUACUUGCAGAAAAAGCGCCGGCUAACUACGUGCCAGCAGCCGCGGUAAUACGUAGGGCGCGAGCGUUAUCCGGAAUUAUUGGGCGUAAAGAGCUCGUAGGCGGUUUGUCGCGUCUGCUGUGAAAUCCCGAGGCUCAACCUCGGGUCUGCAGUGGGUACGGGCAGACUAGAGUGCGGUAGGGGAGAUUGGAAUUCCUGGUGUAGCGGUGGAAUGCGCAGAUAUCAGGAGGAACACCGAUGGCGAAGGCAGAUCUCUGGGCCGUAACUGACGCUGAGGAGCGAAAGGGUGGGGAGCAAACAGGCUUAGAUACCCUGGUAGUCCACCCCGUAAACGUUGGGAACUAGUUGUGGGGUCCAUUCCACGGAUUCCGUGACGCAGCUAACGCAUUAAGUUCCCCGCCUGGGGAGUACGGCCGCAAGGCUAAAACUCAAAGGAAUUGACGGGGACCCGCACAAGCGGCGGAGCAUGCGGAUUAAUUCGAUGCAACGCGAAGAACCUUACCAAGGCUUGACAUAUAGAGGAAACGUGCAGAAAUGUACGCCCCGCAAGGUCUCUAUACAGGUGGUGCAUGGUUGUCGUCAGCUCGUGUCGUGAGAUGUUGGGUUAAGUCCCGCAACGAGCGCAACCCUCGUUCUAUGUUGCCAGCACGUAAUGGUGGGAACUCAUGGAAUACUGCCGGGGUCAACUCGGAGGAAGGUGGGGAUGACGUCAAAUCAUCAUGCCCCUUAUGUCUUGGGCUUCACGCAUGCUACAAUGGCCGGUACAAAGGGCUGCAAUACCGUAAGGUGGAGCGAAUCCCAAAAAGCCGGUCCCAGUUCGGAUUGAGGUCUGCAACUCGACCUCAUGAA